GCCGGCUUGGUGUAAUCGGCAACACACCUCUUGGGUACGCCUUUAAGAGGAGCUCCAGGUUCGAGUCCUGGCGCUGGCG